UUGGUAGCGUAAGCGUCCCCGUCAACGUCACAAGCAGAAGACGGUCUCUGGCUUUCACACUUCCUACUUCACCAUGAGUUCGCCCAAACCAAAACCCAUCCAGGAGAGAAAUGGCGUAGGAAAAAAAUGCUUAGGCAGUGUCCUCAGCAGAGCUAUGACCAGCAACUCAGAAUGGCCAGAUAAGGAUGAGUUCUUGGACGUAAUAUACUGGAGUCGACAGGUGCUGGGAAUCAUGCUUGGUAUGGUGUGGGGCUUCAUCCCACUCAAAGGCUUCAUAGGUCUCUUUUUGUUUUGCUUGAUUAAUGCAGCCCUAGUUUACUUCUAUGCAUCAAGUUUCCAAGGUGUUGAUGAAGAGGAAUUUGGAGGAAUGUGGGAACUUACCAAAGAAGGAUUUGUCACAUCGUUUGCAGGUUUUUUGGUAGAGACUGUUACCCCGAGUGGAUGCCUUCCUAUCCUCGGACUGUAGCAGGGCUCAAACCUGGUUCACUUGAAGACCCUACUGGUCCUCAGCAUAACCACUGUACCACGGCAUCCCCUAAAAUUUAACUCUAGUGAUGUGGAUAAUCCUAUAUUCCGGUUUACAUUAUGACUGACAUUACCCUAGACAAAAUAUUUUUUAGACCAUACAUUUUCAGUGUUUUAUGAACAAGAAAGGGGAUUUCACAGUUGAACUUGGUUUAUAAAGCAGAUUAUGAUUUACUAUCAACACUGUCAUAUUUUCUGGUAUGCAGUGUUGCUAAAAGUUCAUUUUAUAAUGUUAAAUUUGUAAUAAAAAAAGAAAAAAAAAUUCAGUAAAGUCCAAGGACAUAAAUGCUUACUGGUUUAAGCAUGAUAAUUUUUGUAUCAACAAACAGUGAUAUGUUAUUGUUGGAUCUUAAAAGGGAUGAUAUUGCUUUGCCAAAAAUUGUGAAAAUAUCAUUCAUUACUUAACAACUACACUUGUUACAGUAGUGCCACCCAGAAGUUCAGUAAGGAGUUAAUAGAUGAAAGCGUUUUUUGGAUAUUGAUUGGACAUGAAAACUAAUCAGAUCUGGAAUUCUCCAGAGAUUGGUGCUUUAGAGUAUUAUUAUAUUUUAUUUAUAUUAUUCUUUUUUGUGGAAGAGUAUGCUUUUUAUUGUGACAUUUGGGAAUACCGUUGCAAUAUUUUCUAUAAACAAAAAAAGUGAGGAGAAAGUAAUUUGUCUUGGUCACAAUUUAUCUCAGCCUCACAGUUUCUCAUAAAAACAAUUGUAUAUUUUCACUUGUUUGCAAGCAAUAUAUUUAUAUGGAUUACUAUUGUUAGACAGCAAUAUAUGAAUUAUGACUUAAUUUUUUUUUUCUGAAUAUACAGUGGUACCUGAAGUUUUCUUGUAUCCAGCAAUUUUCAUUUCAAGUAAUAUGAUGAUGAUCAGACUUUAUCACAAAAUUAUAAUAAAUAACUCAUUUAGAAAUCAGGACUUCAAUCAAAAUGUCUUUUGUAAUAUCAGACCAUUUUGGGAUUGAUUGGAUUCUGUUGGAACAUGAUAUUUGAUGUUUUCUAAAAUAAUUGAAAUUGCCUUGAAUUCUUUCUAUGACAUUUUUAUGAAAUAAAUAAUGCGGAAAUA